rnacentral:tRNA from 1 species
AGGCGCGUAGCGCAGCUGGUUAGAGCACCACCUUGACAUGGUGGGGGUCGUUGGUUCGAGUCCAAUCGCGCCUACCA